UACUCGUACGCUUACGAGAGACUGGUUUCAUCGUUACGAGUAACUCCGUUGCUCAAAGAUGACUGGCAAGUGUUGGUUUCUCCAACUUUACUUGAAUCGGAUUUGACUGAGGAGGUCCUUGGAUGAGGUUAAAUAGCAACUCAUAUAUCUCCGUUGUGGUGUUUGCGUAAGUAAGAUGCGAUCCUACUAGAUACCCAUGGUCACCACGUAAAACAUGCAACAACAAAGUUAGAGGACGUCUAACUU
rnacentral:lncRNA from 1 species